GCUACCUGGUUGAUCCUGCCAGUA
rnacentral:rRNA from 2 species